AAAAUGGCAGAGAUUUCCUCCAGGAGGCUGGUGCCCAGGUGCUGGGGCACUCUGGGAGGAGCUCUCCUGCGGCAGUGGGUUGUGACCCGCAGCAAAGAAGCUGCUGCAGCAGGCACUGAUCCUCUGUCAGCAUUUCAUUGUCAUAUCAUUGACCAUUUCUAUCAACUACCUUUUGGUCUGAAAGUAAGCCGAACUAAUGUCAAUUGCUUUAAUUGCAUCAUUAAUUGAAACAUGCUGGGAGAAGGACAUUAUUGUUCCAGCUGAAAUGCAAUAACUGAAAACUUUAGCUGCUUUUGCCACUACAGUACAUUUAUGAUGCUUCUAUCCAGAGGGGGAAAAAAAAAAAAACCCACGUUUUGGAAGUACAAAGAGUGUACAACCUGUGCGCACAGAAAUCUAUGAAUUCUACCCCUGGGUGCCAAGGUCUUUAAAACAUCAGCUGAAUUCUGAAGCUAAAGCUGACACAAACAGAAGGAGAAGCAGUGCAAAGUUGCUUUGCUAUUUUCAGACAGAACUUUUCUUCUCAUUGCUGCAGCCUGGAGGGGGAGAGGACUUUCGUGUUUGCUCUGCAUCCCUACACUGACACACAGUUUUACUGCAGUCUGAGUCAUCUCCAGAAUAUCAGCUAAAUCCUGGCUGAAGACAAGAUCUCCAUAAAGCAGGGCUUGCUUUUCUUUUUAUGUGAAAAAGAGAGAAGUAGCUCAAGAAAGGAAUCAGUGAAUCAUCAACAGCAAGAGUGCUGGAAGGCCAACCUUCAACAUCUUCAAAAGACUCUGAGCACUGGGAUGCAUGUAUACAUAUCUAUAAAGAGUUCUGAAAAGAAUAAACAAUCACCCUCAGGGUUGGUCUGGUAGGAGAGCAGAGAGCUGCUCUUGCACCUGAAGGAGCUGUGACUGAAUAUAGUUCAUCAAGGACACCUGGUCCUGACACCAGUUUCUGCACUUAAUUGAAAUAAAGCAUUCUUCCAUUAGUCACUCAUGCCAAAAGGAUAAUAAUGCUUAAAAAAAUCCCUUAUUUUUCAGAGAUCUCACUAUUACUUAGUUCCUAACUUCCUAGUAUGACAUUGCUGUUGGAUAUUUUUUGCAACAUAGGAUGCAGUGACUUCGAGCAAUGAUUUUCUCUUAUCGUAAAAUAUUUAAUAUAUGUAUGUUAGCAAAAUUGUUUCCUGGUGUAAAUUAAUAGCAGUGGCAUGUACAAAAUACAAAUGCAUGUACUUUAUUAUGAAACGUGCUACCAAAACAUUUAUUAUUGUUAAGCUAAAAAGACCCUGCCAGAUGCGUUCAACAACUAACAGAACACAGUAAGGCUGAAAACCACCAAGAACUGCCCCCAAAACUGCAACAGAACUUGUCUCCUAAUUAACUCAGGAAGUGUGACAGUACUGACAUUUUGUCCUAGGUAGUAAGAAAUACGUACUCCUGGAAUGUAAAAUUUCACAUAGGUCUGCUGUGGAGGAAGCAAAUAUGUGUGAGGCAUACAAGACUUGUGUUGUAACUUGUAACGAACAGCAUGUGUCUUAGUUUCAGCUAAGGACAUACACUUAUUCGUGUUUUAGUAGAAAUCUAAACCUCUAGAAGCUUGAAACAAAGCCCUCUUGGUAGCUUCAGCAGCUAGAGAUAAAGUUACUGUUCUUCAGAAGCAGGCUAUGAAAUUUCUGACCGAGAGGAAUUGGCACUGUCAGACCUGCUUGAGCCAUCAAGGAACACUGAAGGCUGUACUUCUCCCACUUCAGGCACUUAUCAGCUCAACAGCGUUACAGGAUCUGAGGUGCACUUCUUUUCCCUGAAUUUGUUUUUCCUUUUUCCUUGGGAUAAGCCCCCCCUUGAACACUGUUUGCUCCAAAAAU
rnacentral:lncRNA from 1 species